rnacentral:lncRNA from 1 species
GUGGGGAUGUUGAAGGGAGGAGAAACAAUUAUUUAUUUAUGACUGGGGAGUUAUGGUUCUCAAAGAAGACCUGAAACUGGGACAGCAAAAAAUACCAAAAAUGUCCACUGUAUGUAGCUUUAUAUCUCAGUUGUCUUAUUCUUUGUAUCCUAAUACCAAAGGGAAAGGAAUGUUGGGGGGAACUGUGAGGGUAGAACAUGCCUCUACUGAGAAUGCACAAUUUCUCUUAAAUUGCACCACGAAGCAUGAUUUAGGAGGGGACUGUGUUUCCACCACAAAAAUAAGAAACUAUCCACAGUAUGAAUUGUGAAAACUAAAUUAUAUUUAUCUUCUAUUGCUCUCAUGUCAUGCUUCGGGCACUUUUAAUAAUGACUAUUUAAUUGUUUCAGUUCAAUCUGAUGCUCCUAAAUAUAAGAAUGGAGACUAUUUGAAUAUUAAUUUUGCGUAAAAAAAAAAUACUAUACAUCUUCAGAUUCUUGUUAUUAAAUGUAAAACUGAUAGUUCACAGAUUAAAAUAGACAUUUUGUCCAGAAAAGGAAGAUGGGUUUUCAUGGCAUCUAUUAAGAAACUACUGUAUUUCAGGGCAAGCAUUUGUUUUAGAUCCAGGUUGGAAAUCAGUCAAAUAACAUCUGGUUUGUCCUUAAUCUCAAUGUAUCAGUUAUAUCUAUUUGUCACAGGCACAAUUGUAAGCUUUCCUAUACCUGUUUAAUGGUGGCAUUAAUUUUAAGAUUCAAGGGCAAACUACAUUAUGAUUUGAAAUGUGCUGCAUUUUUUUUUUACAUUGUUAUUGUUUUGUUGGUAUUACUACGCAAUGUAAGUUCUAUUUCAUCUUGGAUGUACAUAGUCUCAUAACGAUACACUUCUUACAGGUGAGGAAAAGCACGACAAAGCCCAAAGAGGUUUGAGCCUGAAAUUAGAGCAUUAGGAAUGGAUUCACUUUGAGACCAAGUCAUCAGACAUGUUGAUACAAAUCUUAUCAAAUCAAACUGGUUUAUUGCUGUAUUAUUAUGGACCUAAUGAUUUGAGUUGAAAUAAGCAAAGCAAUUUCAAUCAGAUUAAAAGAAGAAACGUGUAUGAUAAUCAUCUGUAUAUGACAGGGAUCAUCAACUAGAUUCAGCCACGGGCUGAUUUGUUUUUUUCUUGAGCGGAUGGUCAGGGGGCAGGAACAUAAUUACAAAUGAUUUGUAGACUGCAAAUUGACCGCAAGAAGCCCAAACAGAUAAUAUUUAGCUAAAACAAUAAUUUCAAACCUUGCUUACGUUUGUAUACGAUCACAUAUCUAUCUAUUAUGUGUGGGUAAUACUUUGGAACAGAUUCCUAAAAUUAAAAUCACAGAGUUGGUGUUUUUAGUCUUUUAUGUCAGAACUUGGGGGUCAAAUAAAAUCGCCCACAGCCAGCCAGUUGGGGAUCCCUGGUAUAUGAGAAAGACUUCUACAAAGUGUGUUAAACUCUGACUUUUCAACAUUUGGACUCUUGUUUGCAUGAUUUCAUCCCUUCCUUUUUUUUGUUUUAUAAAAAAGGGCUCAAACCAUUCCUCUGUAGAAAUUAAAACAGUGACCCAGUUUUGAAUAUUAUCAAUAAUUCUAUUGAUGGUUUAAUUAAUUGCUUCUUAAUCUGUUUUACUUUUGUGAAUGUUUGUCAUUUGUAUGUCAAAUCACAAUCAUUAUAUUUUGUAAUGUGUUAACAUUACACUUAUCGCCUAUCACAGGUAUAAUCAG